GGGAAUCCUGUGCCUAGAGACAAUGAGGGGCUGGGAAAACUAACACGACAAUGGGAGGAGACUCCCCCCAAGGCCUUGUUCUAAAGAGCUGGGCAAUUUCAUUGGGAAGUUAAAAGUGUACGCCGAUCAACACUAAGGCUACUACCAGGAAGAACUGUGACAUGGAGUUGCAAAGAAGCAGAAGAUGCCAGGAGGCAGGAACAACUGGGAGAGGAAGUCAGGAAGGGUAUCUGCAAGAACGGAGCUAAAUGAGCCAAUGAGAUUUGAGGAGAAACAUGUAAGGAAAAUGUUGCCGUUGUAUGCUAAUAGGACUGUAGUCAUCUAAUCCUGGUGCUUUUCCCAGCAAAGACUUGUGUCUGAAGAUGUUUAAUCUAGAGGAAACCAAGGUUACAAAAUCUUAAACGUUUUGUAAACUUUUGGUCCAUUCAUAAUGAAUGAGGGAGAUGUGGCUCUUCAACUCUAAGGCCCUAUUUGGCAUGGCUCCAACUCCUGGUGGAGCUGCUCCACUCCUGAACUCCACAUGGAGCCAGCUCCGCUCCAAAACUCCAGAACAAAAAUGGGGUGUUUGGCUAGAUGGGUGCUCUCAGCUCCAAAAAAGAUCGAUUUCAGUGUGGAUUGCCAUUGUUGCCCCCUAAUUAAGGUCCCACUUGUCAUCCUCUCUAUCCCAUCUUCUUCUUCCCCUUUUUCCACUGCACUGUGCUGCACACGGGAGACCCUCCACGGGCGGCGGGGUGGGUGGCGGGCUGGGUGGCGACGGGCGGCGGGCUGGGCAGCGGGCUCGACGGCGGGCGGCGACGGGCGAUGACGGGCGAUGACGGGCGGCGGGCGGCGACAGGCGGCGGGCAGCGGGUGCGGCGACGGGCGGCGACGGGCGGCGGGCGGCGACAGGCGACGACAGGCGGCGGGCAGCGACAGGCGACGACAGGCGGCGGGCGACGGGUGCGGCGACGGGCGGCGGGCGGCGACAGGCGACGACGUGCGACGACAGGCGGCGGGCGGCGACGGGUGGCGGGCGAUGACGUGCGACGACAGGCGGCGACGGGCGACGGGCGCGGCGGCGAGCGACGACAAGCGGCGGGCGGCGACGGGUAGCGGGUGGCGACGGGCGAUGGGGGCGGCGGCGGGCGGCGACGGGCGGCGAGGCCGGCCGGCCACGGGGGCGGCGACGGGCGGGGCUCUGGCGGCGAGUGGGGCUCGAGAGAAUAGAAGGGAGAAUAGAAUGAAACGUUUUUUGUGUAACCAAUGGCAUUGGUGGGUAAUUACCCACCAACUCCACGAGGAGGUUCAAAAGAGAGGUUUCUGAAGCAGCAAAAGAGGUGCUCCAAAACUCCACCUCCAUUUGCACUACAGCUCCAUGGAGUUGGCAACUCCAUGGAGUUUUGGAGUUGGGGUGUUUGGCUGAAUUUUUUGAUGGAGUUGCUGGAGUUUAGGAGUGGAGCCGUGCCAAACAGGGCCUAAAUAUAGAGGUACCAACUUGAAUAGCUGCAUAUACAGAUCCUAAGUAUCUUCACCAUCGACAUAAAUAGUCUAUUGAUGAAAUAAAAGGAUAUCCAAAGAAUUAUGUUAAAGGCCCUUCAUGCUAAAGGAACUUUGCAUGCCUUAGAGUCAGAGCUUUUUUGCCUUUUUUAUCAAAAUGGGAGUUGGGUAAAGCAAACUCCCUCCUUGGAUGAGCACUGGCUUAGUCAAGUAGAAC
rnacentral:lncRNA from 1 species